UACGAAGGGUGCAAACGUUGCUCGGAAUUAUUGGGCGUAAAGAGCGCGUAGGCGGUCCGAUAAGUCGGCUGUGAAAGUCCAGGGCUCAACCCUGGAAAGCCGGCCGAUACUGUCGGACUAGAGUCCGGAAGAGGCAAGUGGAAUUCCCGGUGUAGCGGUGAAAUGCGCAGAUAUCGGGAGGAACACCAAUUGCGAAGGCAGCUUGCUGGGACGGUACUGACGCUGAGGCGCGAAAGCUAGGGGAGCAAACGGG
rnacentral:rRNA from 1 species